UUUCGUAGGAGCGAUAGCUUCCGCUAUCGGGUGGGGGAGCUAACCCCUAAUCCUAUCCCCAAGGAACUACCCCUAGUUUUAUAUAGUAGCUCUUAGGGUCUAGGGCAGCCCCCCCUGGUUUUUGUAGUAAGACGUAGAAGCUAUCCUCAAAGAGAACAGAGUUCGCAGAUUUCAUGAUUCUAAUAAUUGGUAUGGGAAGUUUCAAUCUUGCGAUAGUGUUUACUUAUAGCAGUGAGUGCUCGCGAAUUUGAUAUGGUAGUUUAUCCCAUUUCAUUUCCAUACCGACACCUAUAUACGGGUAUUUAUUGUGUAUGAAUGCGUAAAGUUCGAAAAUCUCCCUUAAAAAGGUGGGAAAUAUGAUGGAAAUAGGAAAUGUGUAUAUCUUUACGGCGAAGUACGUUCUAUAUAAUUAUAAAUUCGACGUUCCGCAGUAUUUAAAAACGGCGUGCAUCCGCAAUCCGAUUUCAAUAAGUGUGUAUGUGGGUAUAUAGACAGGUGGCUGCUUAUAUACCUCAGGGAUACGUGUCCUUGCGCGCAUAAUUUGCAGUUUUAUGAAAAGCGUGACAUUUUAUUGUAUUUAUUCGGCGAUUAUUUUAUAUGGGCGUUUAUAAGUAAUAAGCCGACAGCAGAAAACAUAGUCUACAUCAGAGUUGGACCACGAUAUCAAACUCCAAUGGAGGAUUGUCUUCAUCAUCGUGGUUAAACGGCGUUCGGAUUUAUUAUUAUUAUUAAUAUCUAUACUUUACAUUUAUUGAUCAGGAGUAGAGGAUAAUACAGUUGUGAUAAAUAAAUGCGAUAACAUUGUGAAAUAUUAUGUAUUACAUCAAUUUGUUUGGUAUUCAGUUAAAUCAAUUUUUCUCGGAUCUACAUUUAUAUAACGAUAAUAUUGAUUAUAAGGUGAGCUUCUUAAUUUAAUAUCUAUAAGUAUAAUCCAGCGGCGGAUUUACACAUUUGCGUUCUACGCCAGAUGCAAUUUACCGCCUAUUUCAAGCUUACCAAAUAGGACGAAAAUUUUUUUCGAUCGCUUCACUCGCAAUUAAUGACACUUAGGUAUGUAAAAUCUAUAAUGUAAGUACCGGGUGAUUCAUUAGAACUGAUGACAGUUUGAAUUUCCCGCAAAACAAAAAUUUUUAAAGGUUGGUAAUAAUAGAUUAUCAUUUGCCUAAUUCCAGUGGUGAAUGUAGAAUCACUCUCCAAGGAGAGAGAUUUACAAAUAAGUCGUUGUUAUUAAAUCAAUCACAAUAAUUACGUCGAUUCUCAUAAUCAAGAGCGUGGCAGUUGCUGUAGAACAGAAACCCGGUACGGGUGUAUGUAUUCGUAGAUCUUUAUGGAAAAUUCGUUGGCAUGUUGCAUAAGACACUCCUGUAAUUCGAAAAUAAAGUUAGUAGGUUCUUUGUCUUCAACCACUUCAUCGUUUCUUAGUAAUGGAUGACCUGUUUUUUCUUCUUUGCAAAUGCAAUUCUUGUUUUCAAAUCGAUCAACGAUUCGUUUCUUAUGAUUGGCAAAUGCUUUGCAAGAAAUAAUAAGAUCGGGACACUCUUCCUUCCAUAAACUGCUCUCGACAGGACUGGAGGAUCUUCAAGAAGG